rnacentral:RNase_P_RNA from 1 species
UGAGUAAAUCGGAUGAUCGCGUGCUUUGAUAAGCAUGAGGAAAGUCCGUGCUCCAUAGGGCAGGAUGCUGGAUAACGUCCAGUGGGGGCGACCCUAAGGCAAGUGCAACAGAAAUAUACCGCCUAGCAUUUAAUGCUAGGUAAGGGUGGAAAGGUGAGGUAAGAGCUCACCAGCAGCUAGGCGACUAGCUGGCUCUGUAAACCCCAUCCGGAGCAAGACCAAGUUAGGGACAAAAAAGGCAGUGGCCCGCUGCUGUCCCGAUGGUAGGUCGCAUGAACUUAUUGGUAACAAUAAGUCAUAGAUAGAUGAUCAUCCAAGACAGAACACGGCUUACAGAUUUACUCAUCUA